ACCGGGCAUGGUGGUGCACGCCUAUAAUCCCAGUGGCUCUGGAGGCUGAGGCAGGAGGAUGGCAAGUUCAAAGCUAGUCUCAGUAACUUAGCGAGGCCCUCAGCAACUUAGCAAGACCCUGUCUCAA
rnacentral:sRNA from 1 species